rnacentral:rRNA from 1 species
AUUGAACGCUGGCGGCAGGCCUAACACAUGCAAGUCGAAUGGUAACAGGAAACAGCUUGCUGUUUCGCUGACGAGUGGCGGACGGGUGAGUAAUGUCUGGGAAACUGCCUGAUGGAGGGGGAUAACUACUGGAAACGGUAGCUAAUACCGCAUAACGUCGCAAGACCAAAGAGGGGGACCUUCGGGCCUCUUGCCAUCAGAUGUGCCCAGAUGGGAUUAGCUAGUAGGUGGGGUAACGGCUCACCUAGGCGACGAUCCCUAGCUGGUCUGAGAGGAUGACCAGCCACACUGGAACUGAGACACGGUCCAGACUCCUACGGGAGGCAGCAGUGGGGAAUAUUGCACAAUGGGCGCAAGCCUGAUGCAGCGAUGCCGCGUGUAUGAAGAAGGCCUUCGGGUUGUAAAGUACUUUCAGCGGGGAGGAAGGGAGUAAAGUUAAUACCUUUGCUCAUUGACGUUACCCGCAGAAGAAGCACCGGCUAACUCCGUG